rnacentral:pre_miRNA from 2 species
CGGUGCUGGUGGAGCAGUGAGCACGCCAUACAUUAUAUCUGUGACACCUGCCACCCAGCCCAAG